GCUUGUAUGAUGAUUCACAUUUUGUCGGAUACCCCUUCACUCUCCAAUGAGUGAAAUCCCACUUCUGACACGC
rnacentral:snoRNA from 1 species